rnacentral:rRNA from 1 species
GACGAACGCUGGCGGCGUGCCUAACACAUGCAAGUCAACGGGUGAGAGGAGCUUGCUCCUCGAUCUAGUGGCGAACGGGUGAGUAACGCGUGAGAAACCUGCCUUUCAGUGGGGGACAACAGUUGGAAACGACUGCUAAUACCGCAUAAUGUGCCGGGAGGGCAUCCUCCUGGUACCAAAGCUUUAUGUGCUGAAAGAUGGUCUCGCGUCUGAUUAGCUAGAUGGCGGGGUAACGGCCCACCAUGGCGACGAUCAGUAGCCGGUCUGAGAGGAUGAACGGCCACAUUGGGACUGAGAUACGGCCCAGACUCCUACGGGAGGCAGCAGUGGGGAAUAUUGGGCAAUGGGGGAAACCCUGAUGCAGCGACGCCGCGUGAGUGAAGAAGUAAUUCGUUACGUAAAGCUCUAUCAGCAGGGAAGAAAAUGACGGUACCUGACUAAGAAGCCCCGGCUAACUACGUG